rnacentral:rRNA from 1 species
GAUGAACGCUGGCGGCGUGCCUAAUACAUGCAAGUCGAGCGAAUGGAUUAAGAGCUUGCUCUUAUGAAGUUAGCGGCGGACGGGUGAGUAACACGUGGGUAACCUGCCCAUAAGACUGGGAUAACUCCGGGAAACCGGGGCUAAUACCGGAUAACAUUUUGAACCGCAUGGUUCGAAAUUGAAAGGCGGCUUCGGCUGUCACUUAUGGAUGGACCCGCGUCGCAUUAGCUAGUUGGUGAGGUAAAGGCUCACCAAGGCAACGAUGCGUAGCCGACCUGAGAGGGUGAUUGGCCACACUGGGACUGAGACACGGCCCAGACUCCUACGGGAGGCAGCAGUAGGGAAUCUUCCGCAAUGGACGAAAGUCUGACGGAGCAACGCCGCGUGAGUGAUGAAGGCUUUCGGGUCGUAAAACUCUGUUGUUAGGGAAGAACAAGUGCUAGUUGAAUAAGCUGGCACCUUGACGGUACCUGACCAGAAAGCCACGGCUAACUACGUGCCAGCAGCCGCAGUAA